GAUGAACGCUGGCGGCGUGCCUAAUACAUGCAAGUCGAGCGAACGGACGAGAAGCUUGCUUCUCUGAUGUUAGCGGCGGACGGGUGAGUAACACGUGGAUAACCUACCUAUAAGUCUGGGAUAACUUCGGGAAACCGUAGCUAAUACCGGAUAAUAUUUUGAACCGCAUGGUUCAAAAGUGAAAGACGGUCUUGCUGUCACUUAUAGAUGGAUCCGCGCUGCAUUAGCUAGUUGGUAAGGUAACGGCUUACCAAGGCAACGAUGCAUAGCCGACCUGAGAGGGUGAUCGGCCACACUGGAACUGAGACACGGUCCAGACUCCUACGGGAGGCAGCAGUAGGGAAUCUUCCGCAAUGGGCGAAAGCCUGACGGAGCAACGCCGCGUGAGUGAUGAAGGUCUUCGGAUCGUAAAACUCUGUUAUUAGGGAAGAACAUAUGUGUAAGUAACUGUGCACAUCUCGACGGUACCUAAUCAGAAAGCCACGGCUAACUACGUG
rnacentral:rRNA from 1 species